UACGGGGGGGGCAAGCGUUGUUCGGAAUUACUGGGCGUAAAGCGUGCGCAGGCGGCUUUCUAAGUCAGUGGUGAAAGCCCGGAGCUCAACUCCGGAAAUGCCAUUGAAACUGUGAAGCUUGAGAACGAGAGAGGUGAGUGGAAUUCCCAGUGUAGAGGUGAAAUUCGUAGAUAUUGGGAAGAACACCAGUGGCGAAGGCGGCUCACUGGCUCGUAACUGACGCUCAUGCACGACAGCGUGGGGAUCAAACAGG
rnacentral:rRNA from 1 species